rnacentral:rRNA from 1 species
CCGCAUACGUCCUACUGGAGAAAGCAGGGGACCUUUGGGCCUUGCGCUAAUAGAUGAGCCUAAGUCGGAUUAGCUAGUUGGUAGGGUAAAGGCCUACCAAGGCGACGAUCUGUAGCGGGUCUGAGAGGAUGAUCCCCCACACUGGGACUGAGACACGCCCAGACUCCUACGGGAGGCAGCAGUGGGGAAUAUUGGACAAUGGGGGGAACCCUGAUCCAGCCAUGCCGCGUGUGGAAGAAGGCCUUUUGGUUGUAAAGCACUUUAAGCGAGGAGGAGGCUACCUAGAUUAAUACUUUAGGAUAGUGGACGUUACUCGCAGAAUAAGCACCGGCUAACUCUGUGCCAGCAGCCGCGGUAAUACAGAGGGUGCGAGCGUUAAUCGGAUUUACUGGGCGUAAAGCGUGCGUAGGCGGCCAAUUAAGUCAAAUGUGAAAUCCCCGAGCUUAACUUGGGAAUUGCAUUCGAUACUGGUUGGCUAGAGUAUGGGAGAGGAUGGUAGAAUUCCAGGUGUAGCGGUGAAAUGCGUAGAGAUCUGGAGGAAUACCGAUGGCGAAGGCAGCCAUCUGGCCUAAUACUGACGCUGAGGUACGAAAGCAUGGGGAGCAAACAGGAUUAGAUACCCUGGUAGUCCAUGCCGUAAACGAUGUCUACUAGCCGUUGGGGCCCUUGAGGCUUUAGUGGCGCAGCUAACGCGAUAAGUAGACCGCCUGGGGAGUACGGUCGCAAGACUAAAACUCAAAUGAAUUGACGGGGGCCCGCACAAGCGGUGGAGCAUGUGGUUUAAUUCGAUGCAACGCGAAGAACCUUACCUGGCCUUGACAUACAGAGAACUUUCCAGAGAUGGAUUGGUGCCUUCGGGAACUCUGAUACAGGUGCUGCAUGGCUGUCGUCAGCUCGUGUCGUGAGAUGUUGGGUUAAGUCCCGCAACGAGCGCAACCCUUUUCCUUAUUUGCCAGCACUUCGGGUGGGAACUUUAAGGAUACUGCCAGUGACAAACUGGAGGAAGGCGGGGACGACGUCAAGUCAUCAUGGCCCUUACGGCCAGGGCUACACACGUGCUACAAUGGUCGGUACAAAGGGUUGCUACACAGCGAUGUGAUGCUAAUCUCAAAAAGCCGAUCGUAGUCCGGAUUGGAGUCUGCAACUCGACUCCAUGAAGUCGGAAUCGCUAGUAAUCGCGGAUCAGAAUGCCGCGGUGAAUACGUUCCCGGGCCUUGUACACACCGCCCGUCACACCAUGGGAGUUUGUUGCACCAGAAGUAGGUAGUCUAACCGCAAGGAGGACGCUUACCCAACGGUGGCC